rnacentral:rRNA from 1 species
CCUACGGGAGGCAGCAGUAGGGAAUCUUCCGCAAUGGACGAAAGUCUGACGGAGCAACGCCGCGUGAACGAUGAAGGCCUUCGGGUCGUAAAGUUCUGUUGUUAGGGAAGAACAAGUGCUAGUUGAAUAAGCUGGCACCUUGACGGUACCUAACCAGAAAGCCACGGCUAACUACGUGCCAGCAGCCGCGGUAAUACGUAGGUGGCAAGCGUUGUCCGGAAUUAUUGGGCGUAAAGCGCGCGCAGGCGGUUUCUUAAGUCUGAUGUGAAAGCCCCCGGCUCAACCGGGGAGGGUCAUUGGAAACUGGGAAACUUGAGUGCAGAAGAGGAAAGUGGAAUUCCAAGUGUAGCGGUGAAAUGCGUAGAGAUUUGGAGGAACACCAGUGGCGAAGGCGACUUUCUGGUCUGUAACUGACGCUGAGGCGCGAAAGCGUGGGGAGCAAACAGGAUUAGAUACCCUGGUAGUCCACGCUGUAAACGAUGAGUGCUAAGUGUUAGAGGGUUUCCGCCUUUAGUGCUGAAGUUAACGCAUUAAGCACUCCGCCUGGGGAGUCGGUCGCAAGCUGAAACUCAAAGGAUUGACGGNUUGAGAGNGCGAGCGACGACGAGGGAGAGG